AAACCCUUGUCUCGAAAUCCACGAAGACUUUCUGCUAAUAUUUCAGAUGGUGUCGUGCAUUUCGUUCUAACCGCACGGCAGAUAAAGUAAACCGGAAAGUAUAAUACUUCCCAGUUGGUGCAGAACCAAGUUGUGAAGAAAGGAACUAAUUUAAUUUCCGACACGAAAAUAAGAUAUCAAUUUAUAAAUGGAAAUAUAUGUAAUCUGGUGCAUUAUAUUCAAUUAUGUUUGGACAUAGGGAAGAUAUCGAAAUAGAAUAAGACAGAAUGUAUGAGAUGUGAAAGCGAAGUUGGUAAAAGCCUCUUGGCAGUGACAAUAGAGUUUCUUAAAGAAUUGAAGCACCGUGUCUAAUUACAUGCUGAUGACGGGGCUCGGUUACGGAGGCAUUCGAUGUGGAUGUAUAACUAGGACUCGUUGGUUUAUGAAAGUAUAAAUAUUUUAUGCAGUGGGUUGCUCCCACCCAGCUCGCCGUCACACAUAUUGUUACGCACACACCAAAAUAUAUCUGUAAUAAUCGAAGAAAGAAAUAUUAGGUAUGUUCUAUUUAUAUAAAUAAAGAUAUAUAUCUCUUUUUUUCAAA